UCAACUGAAGAGUUUGAUCCUGGCUCAGAUUGAACGCUGGCGGCAUGGCUAAAACAUGCAAGUCGAACGAUCCCUUCGGGGAGAGUGGCGAAAGGGCGAGGAAUAGAAUCGAAUGUAUCCCAAGGUGGAGGAUAGCUUCUGGAAACGGAAGGUAAUACUCCAUGUGCUCUACGGAGGAAAGGUUUACCGCCUUGGGAGCGGCGAUUCUCCUAUCAGGUAGUUGGUGAGGUAAAAGCUCACCAAGCCGAAGACGGGUAGCGGGUGUGAGAGCAUGACCCGCCGCAUCGGGACUGAGACACUGCCCGGACUCCUACGGGAGGCUGCAGUAACGAAUCUUCCGCAAUGGGCGAAAGCCUGACGGAGCAAUGCCGCGUGUGGGAUCAAGCAUCUUCGAUGUGUAAACCACUGUCAGGGUCUAGGAAUACUGACCAGACCCAGAGGAAGGGCCGGCUAAUUCAGUGCCAGCAGCCGCGGUAAUACUGAAGGCCCGAGCGUUAAUCGGAAUCACUGGGCUUAAAGCGUACGCAGGCGGACUUGUAGGUAUUUUGUGAAAUCCCACGGCUUAACCGUGGAACUGCAGAGUAAACCACAAGUCUUGAGACAUGUAGGGGUCAGUGGAACCAUGAGNGGAGCGGUGAAAUGCGUAGAUAUUCAUGGGAACGCCAAUGGCGAAGGCAGCUGACUGGGCAUGUUCUGACGCUCAGGUACGAAAGCGUGGGUAGCGAACGGGAUUAGAUACCCCGGUAGUCCACGCCGUAAACGAUGCACACUAGGUCGUGGGAACUCUCAUGUUCUCGCGGCCGAAGGUAAACUGGUAAGUGUGCCGCCUGGGGAGUACGGUCGCAAGGCUAAAACUCAAAGGAAUUGACGGGGGCUCACACAAGCGGUGGAGCAUGUUGCUUAAUUCGAGGCAACGCGAAGAACCUUACCUGGGCUUGACAUGUAUGGAUUAGCUUAUGGAAACAUAAGUGACGCCCUUGGGUGGAACAUACACAGGUGCUGCAUGGCUGUCGUCAGCUCGUGCUGUGAAGUGUCGGGNUAAGUCCCUUAACGAGCGCAACCCCUAUCGUUAGUUACUAACGCGUUAUGGCGAGGACUCUAGCGAGACUGCCGGUGUCAAACCGGAGGAAGGUGGGGAUGACGUCAAGUCCUCAUGGCCUUUAUGCCCAGGGAUGCAAACGUGCUACAAUGGUACGGACAAAGCGAUGCAAUACCGCGAGGUGGAGCAAAUCGCAAAAACCGUGCCCCAGUUCGGAUAGCAGGCUGAAAUUCGCCUGCUUGAAGCCGGAAUCGCUAGUAAUCGCGUAUCAGCUACGACGCGGUGAAUACGUUCCUGAGCCUUGUACACACCGCCCGUCACGUCAUGGAAGCUGCUAGUGCCCGAAGUCACCUCGUUUCAGGGGUGCCUACGGCAAGAGUGGUGACUGGGACGAAGUCGUAACAAGGUAGCCGUAGGAGAACCUGCGGCUGGAUCACCUCCUUUCUAAGG
rnacentral:rRNA from 1 species